GAUGAACGCUGGCGGCGUGCUUAACACAUGCAAGUCGAACGAAGCACUGAAAGCGGAUCACUUCGGUAAGAAGCUUUCUUUGACUGAGUGGCGGACGGGUGAGUAACGCGUGGGUAACCUGCCUCAUACAGGGGGAUAACAGUUAGAAAUGACUGCUAAUACCGCAUAAGCGCACGGAACCGCAUGGUUUUGUGUGAAAAACUCCGGUGGUAUGAGAUGGACCCGCGUCUGAGUAGCUGGUUGGCGGGGUAACGGCCCACCAAGGCGACGAUCAGUAGCCGGCCUGAGAGGGUGAACGGCCACAUUGGGACUGAGACACGGCCCAA
rnacentral:rRNA from 1 species